GCACCAAUAUUUCUCGGGAAAACGUCAUCGAGAGCCGGAACAAACUUGUGUCUGAAAUUGAGACUUCCCUAAAGGAAGUCUCUGAAUGGGGUCGACUUAACUUAGUCCGUUUUAACCCUAGCAAGACACAGGUUUGCGCGUUUACCGCAAAAAAGUUAGAGUUUGUCGCGUCACCUCGUUUUGAGAGCACUCCCCUGAGUGCCGCAGCCAGUAUCGGAAUCCUUGGUCCUCCAAGAAGCUCGGUGUGCUCAACAGAUCGAGACGGUAUUUCACACCGGCCCAGCGCCUACAGCUUUAUAAGGCGCAGGUUCGCCCACACAUGGAAUACUGCUCUCAUCUGUGGGCAGGGGCACCCCAAUAUCAGCUUCUCCCUCUGGACCGCAUCCAACGAAGAGCGGCUCGAAUUGUUGACUGCCAGCGUCUUUCGGAACGGCUUGACUCCUUGGCGCUGCGUAGAGAUGUAGCCUCGCUCUGCAUUUUCUAUCGCAUGUAUAACGGGGAGUGCUCCGAGGAAUUGUUCGGAUUAAUCCCUGCCGCUUCUUUUCGCCAUCGCCCUACGCGACAACAUUACCAUAUUCAUCACUUGGAUGGUUGGCAGUCCUCAACUGUGCGUUUCUCCAGAAACUUCCUGCCUCGCACAGCCAAACUGUGGAAUGAACUGUCGCCAGCGGUAUUUCCGGACCGAUACGACCUACAAACCUUCAAGAAAAGAGCGUACUCCCAUCUUAAAGGCCGGCAACGCGCUUGCAACCCUUCUGGUGUUGCGGGUGUCCAUGGGCGGCGGUAAUCGCUUACCAUCAGGUGAUCCGUCUGCUCGUUUGCC